AGAGUUUGAUCCUGGCUCAGGAUGAACGCUGGCGGCGUGCUUAAUACAUGCAAGUCGAACGAAUGGAUGUCUAGCUUGCUAGACUGAAGUUAGUGGCGAACGGGUGAGUAAUACAUAGGCAAUCUGCCCUGAAGUGUGGGAUAGCUAUUGGAAACGAUAAUUAAUACCGCAUAGGUAGUAGGAAGGCAUCUUCCUACUAUUAAAGAUGCGUUUGCAUCGCUGCAGGAUGAGCUUAUGGUGUAUUAGCUAGUUGGUGAGAUAAAAGCCCACCAAGGCUAUGAUACAUAGCUGGUCUGAGAGGAUGAACAGCCACACUGGAACUGAGACACGGUCCAGACUCCUACGGGAGGCAGCAGUGAGGAAUAUUGGUCAAUGGUCGGAAGACUGAACCAGCCAUGCCGCGUGAAGGUCAGUGCCCUAUGGGCGUUAAACUUCUUUUGUGUGAGAGCAAUAAGGACCUCGUGAGGUCCGAUGAGAGUAUCACACGAAUAAGCAUCGGCUAACUCCGUGCCAGCAGCCGCGGUAAUACGGGGGAUGCGAGCGUUAUCCGGAUUUAUUGGGUUUAAAGGGUGCGUAGGCUGUUUGUCAAGUCAGAGGUGAAAGGCCGCAGCUCAACUGUGGAAUUGCCUUUGAUACUGGCAGGCUUGAAUACUGUUGCCGUGGGAGGAAUGAGUAGUGUAGCGGUGAAAUGCAUAGAUAUUACUCAGAACACCGAUUGCGAAGGCAUCUCACGAAGCAGAGAUUGACGCUGAGGCACGAAAGCGUGGGGAUCAAACAGGAUUAGAUACCCUGGUAGUCCACGCAGUAAACGAUGAUAACUAACCGUCGGCGAUAGACAGUCGGUGGCCAAGCGAAAGCGAUAAGUUAUCCACCUGGGGAGUACGACCGCAAGGUUGAAACUCAAAGGAAUUGACGGGGGCCCGCACAAGCGGAGGAACAUGUGGUUUAAUUCGAUGAUACGCGAGGAACCUUACCCAGGCUCGAACGGCAGAUGAACGAUGCAGAGAUGCAAAGGUCCUUCGGGACGUCUGUCGAGGUGCUGCAUAGUUGUCGUCAGCUCGUGUCGUGAGAUGUUGGCUUAAGUGCCAUAACGAGCGCAACCCUUGUCGUUAGUUACCAUCAAGUAGAGUUGGGGACUCUAACGAGACUGCCACCGCAAGGUGUGAGGAAGGCGGGGAUGACGUCAAAUCAGCACGGCCCUUACGUCUGGGGCGACACACGUGUUACAAUGGUAGUUACAGAGGGAAGCCACCUGGUGACAGGGAGCAGAUCUCGAAAAGCUAUCUCAGUUCGGACUGGAGUCUGCAACUCGACUCCACGAAGCUGGAUUCGCUAGUAAUCGCGCAUCAGCCAUGGCGCGGUGAAUACGUUCCCGGGCCUUGUACUCACCGCCCGUCAAG
rnacentral:rRNA from 1 species